rnacentral:rRNA from 1 species
UACGAAGGGUGCAAGCGUUAAUCGGAAUUACUGGGCGUAAAGGGUAGGUAGGUGGUCUCAUUUGUCUGGGGUGAAAGCCUUGAGCUUAACUCAAGAAGUGCCCCGGAAACGGUGAGACUGGAGUCCUGGAGAGGGUCGUGGAAUUCCCGGUGUAGCGGUGAAAUGCGUAGAGAUCGGGAGGAACACCAGAGGCGAAGGCAGCGACCUGGACAGGCACUGACACUCAACUACGAAAGCGUGGGGAGCAAACAGG